CUGCGGAAGGAUCAUUAAAGAUUUUUGAUUGGAGCAGCCGGGGGAGUGCCAGCCAGCCUGCGCUUAAUUGCGCGGCCGACGGUGCUUUCUGUUAACGGUUGUCUCUUUCUACACACACACUGUGGAGUUUUUUCUACUUUGCUACUUUUUCUUUGGGCGCAAGCCCAGAGGAUACAAAACACAAACAAUUUUUUAUGUUUAUUUUAGUCAAGAAAUUUUCAUUUUAAGAAAAUAAAAUAUUCAAAACUUUCAACAACGGAUCUCUUGGUUCUCGCAUCGAUGAAGAACGCAGCGAAAUGCGAUACGUAUUGUGAAUUGCAGAUUUUCGUGAAUCAUCGAAUCUUUGAACGCACAUUGCGCCCUUUGGUAUUCCAAAGGGCAUGCCUGUUUGAGCGUCAUUUCCUUCUCAAACCUUUGGGUUUGGUCGUGAGUGAUACUCUUUCCAGGGUUAACUUGAAAAUGCUGGCCAUCUGGCUGCUGCUGGCUGAGGCUCUAGUCCAGUCUGCUGAUACUCGACGUAUUAGGUUUUACCAACUCGUUGUGGCAUCGGUCGGGCGUUAUUACGACUCUAGCACGAAAGUACAGACAGCCUGGCGAACAGUAUUCAUAAAGUUUGACCUCAAAUCAGGUAGGAUUACCCGCUGAACUUAAGCAUAUCAAUAAGGCGGAGGA
rnacentral:rRNA from 1 species